AACGGUCUAUACCUGCGGUACCUGCGGAAGGAUCAUUACAGAAUUGUUCGAAUCCAUACGGACACAUUCUUAACAUCCGUAUCCACACCGGCAGGGCUUUCGGGCCUUUGCCGUAGGGUUCCUCUUUUCUCUUUCUCUGUUAGGGAAAGAGAGGGGGGUUCCUGUCUGACCUUUGCCUAUAAUUUUAAUUUUGUCUGAACUUUUAUUUUAUUAUAAAAUAAAAACAACUUUCAACAAUGG
rnacentral:misc_RNA from 1 species